rnacentral:rRNA from 1 species
UACGAAGGGGGCUAGCGUUGUUCGGAAUCACUGGGCGUAAAGCGCACGUAGGCGGAUCUUUAAGUCAGGGGUGAAAUCCCGAGGCUCAACCUCGGAACUGCCUUUGAUACUGGGGAUCUCGAGUCCGGGAGAGGUGAGUGGAACUGCGAGUGUAGAGGUGAAAUUCGUAGAUAUUCGCAAGAACACCAGUGGCGAAGGCGGCUCACUGGCCCGGAACUGACGCUGAGGUGCGAAAGCGUGGGGGAGCAAACAGG